AGGAGGCUGAGGCAGGAGGAUUGCUGUGAGUUUAAGGCCUGCCUGGCCUACCAAGUGAAUUUAAGGUCAGUCUGAAAUCUCAAAAAGAUAACCAAAGAAACAAAUCACACACUAAAUCUGCUGCAAGAUAAAAUAGGAAGAACUCUUGAAGACAUAGGUGUAGGCAAAGAUUUCAUGAACAAAAACCUGAAUGCACGGGAAACACUACAAAGAACUGGGAUCUCAUCCUAUUAAAAAUCUUUUGCACUGCAAAAAAAAUUACCAAGAGUGAAAAGAGAGCCCACAGAGCAGGAAAAAAUUUAGCUAGAUGUCAUUUGAACAGCAUUUCUUCAGGCCUGAUUCUUGGCCUCUCUUUUUCUCUCCCCACUGUCUCCUCCUUCGUUGCUAACUUAGAACUACAUCAUCAAUUUGUACUAUUCUACCAUGACUCCAUUUUUUCUACAGCUCAUUCCACUCUUGGAGACUUCUGAACCAUAGAUUUCACACCCUACUUGCUUUUGGCUCUGGUUAACACUUCCCACUCAUGUCUAAAUCCAAACUCAUGACUUAGCAUACCUGCUCCCUGAUUUUUUGCUUCUCUUCAUGUUCUUUCUUAGUAAAGUGGCUCCACCCUCAUUCUGUUCCAAAAGCCAAGACCUGAAGGUUUUCCCACCCCCACUGCCACUGCUUCACUUUCCCGCUUGUCUUCCAUAUAAAGUCUAUCAAUUUUACCUCUACUCUCAAACCCUGCUACUUCUCUAAAUCCACUACCACCAUUUUAGUUCAAGCUCAGCUGAACUUUCGCAACAGCCUUUCACUAGCUUCACUGCAUGUGUGGAGGCCUCUUCCACCCUGUCCUCUGUCAUGCAGAGAUGGCUUCCUCAGAAUGAAAACCUGAAGUUUCAUCCUCGUGCAAGUCCUUCAGUAGCUGCCCAUUAUUUGAAUAAGGAUGAAACUUACAUGCCUAGGAGACUCCACACAGUCUGCAGGAGAUGCCAUCAUCCCCCUUCUCUUGAGUAAUGAAGACAGACAAGGGCUUUCGUGCUACAGUGCAGUGGUGGUGAACCUAUGGCGUGCGUUUGUUCUUAAGACAAAAGUUGUUAAUGUAUUAAUUUUUUAUAAAUUAAAACCUCAGUAUUGAGGUUUAAUUGCAGUGUUGGCUCUCUGCAAUAAAUAAGUGGGUCUUGAGUUGCAGUACGGGUACCCAUCGCUUGCUAUCACUGCUACAGUAUAUCCCGUGUCCCCUCAUUCCCGGCCCUUUUCCCUUUCAAGACAGCAUCUCACUGAGUUGUCCAGGUUGGCUUCGAACCUGUGAUGUGCUGGCGUCAGCCUGUAAGAGUGCUGCUAUCACAGGUGUGCACCACCAUGCCUGGCUUGGCAAACAGAUUUUAAUCUCCAGACAGUCUGGAGAUGAUGGACGGAUAGUAAGAAUAAUAAAGCUUAUCACAUGUG